CAAAAAGUACAAACCUCAGGUGCCGGCCCGUGGCCGGCUCAAAAGGGAAUCCCGUGAAAAUCGGGAACGGUCCCGCCGCUGUGAACGGGGACGAAAUCCGCACGAAGGCCACUGUUACGGGGGAUCUGUAGCGGGAAGGCGCGGAGAGUAGGGCGAUCCGUGAGUCAGAAGACCUGCCUGGGGUUUCUUCGCCCG
rnacentral:ncRNA from 2 species